UGAAGCCCUAGAGGAGCCCUAGAAUGGGGAGGAAGAAGAAGAGCGGGUCGGGGGAGGCGUGGAAGGAUGUGACGCCGCAGGAGCCGACAUCGCUGCUCCUGGGCAGCGGCCAUGGAGGUUUUGUGUCUCUGGAGGAGAUUGAUGAGGAUCUGGUGUUUGGACUCGAGCCUCCGGCCGGGGAGGAUUUGAGUGGGAAGAAUGCGAAGAAAGGGAAGAGGAAACGCGCGUUGGAAACUGAUCUAGGCGAGGAGAAACAUGCGAAGAAGAAUAAGAAGAGAAAAGAGAAAAUGCUCGCUAGUGACACCGAUCUAGCCGACGGAAAUGCUGCGAUGAGAAAGGAGAAGAAGAAGAAGAAGAAGAAGGGAAAUGCCGAGCCUGGUGAUACUGCCCAAGAUAAAGAGGCUUUAAACUCUCCUCGAGGGAAGAAAAGGAAGAACAAGCGUUUGCGUGAAAAUACUACGUCCGGUGCCAACAAGAGAUCAAAGCUAGAUGGUGGAGAUAAUGGGAGUGAAGGUUUGGAGAGAGUCGAUGUUGUUCUUCCCGAAUGGAACGAGUUGAGACUUCAUCCUUCACUGCUAAGAGCUCUUUCUAUUCUUGGCUUUACCACUCCAACUCCCAUCCAGAAGGCAUGCAUUCCAGCAGCUGCGCACAAGGGAAAGGACGUUAUCGGGGCCGCAGAGACUGGAUCAGGAAAAACCUUAGCUUUUGGCAUACCAAUUUUGCAAAGGCUUCUUGAUGAACGCGAUAAGCUCUUGCGACAGAACAAUGUUGCUAGUGACAGUCCACUUCGUGCUCUCAUCGUCACACCUACGCGAGAAUUAGCUCUGCAGAUUUGCGACCAUAUUCGAGCAGUAGCUAAGUUUACAGAUAUCAAGGUCGCUCCUAUUGUUGGUGGCAUAUCUACGCAAAAACAGGAACGCCUUCUUAAGCGAAGGCCUGCUAUUGUCGUUGGAACUCCUGGUCGCCUAUGGGAACUCAUGAGCAGUGGCGAAAGCCACCUUGUCCAGCUCCAAGAGAUCUCAUUUUUUAUACUGGACGAGGCUGACCGCAUGAUUGAAAAAGGCCAUUUUCAAGAGCUAGAAUCCAUAAUUGAUUUACUACCGAAGCACGGUGAAUCGCGAGAGGAUCUAGAUCCUGCAGACAACGUUUUUUUGUCCGCUAAGAAACGGAGGCAGACUUUGGUGUUUUCAGCUACCUUGACCCUGCCUCCCGACUUCAAGAAAAAGCUCAAGAAAAGCUAUGGAGCAAGAAAGAAAUCAGAGCAGCAUUCUCUAUCCUUACUGUCGGAGAGAGCCGGGCUCAGCGACACUGCUGAAGUUGUGGAUUUGACAUCGAAGAACGUCGUUGCUGAAAAGCUUACGGAGUCGGUUAUCGAAUGCACCGACGAGGAAAAGGAUGCCUACCUAUACUACGUCCUCAAGGUACAUGGAUGUGGGCGAACAAUUGUGUUUUGUACCUCCAUUGCGGCAUUAAGAAGACUAGCAGCUAUUCUACGUCUUUUAGAGGUUCCGGCGUGGCCUUUGCAUGCACAGCUACAGCAACGGCAGAGACUAAAGACAAUGGAUAGAUUCCGAGCCAGCACCGAUGGUGUGCUUGUCGCAACGGACGUUGCUGCACGGGGUUUAGAUAUUCCGGGAGUUCGGACUGUUAUACAUUAUCAGUUACCACACUCAGCGGAGAUGUAUGUUCAUAGAAGUGGGAGAACAGCGCGUGCUGACAAAGAUGGAUGCAGCAUUGCUCUAAUCUCUCCCUCGGAGAAGUCGAAGUACUUGACACUCUGCCGUGCGCUAUCAAAGUCCAGUGGCUUGACAAGGUUUCCAAUCAAUUCCGGGUAUAUACCCUCUGUUGAGAAACGAAUAGAGCUUGCUCUCAGAAUUGAUAGACUAUUACGGGAGAAUUCGAAGAAAAAGGCGAAGAGCACCUGGUUUGAGCGAAAUGCGAAGGAACUCGACAUCGAAAUUGAGCGCAAGGAUGAGGACAAUGACAACGUUGAGGCGAAGCUCAGUGGAAAAAAGUCCGUGCAAUUGAGAAGCUUACAAGAGGAACUGAAGCAGAUGCUCAAACAUCCUUUGGAGCUGAGAGGCUUCUCUCGUCGCUUUAUUGCUGGGACUGGAUUGACUCCACUGGCCGCACAGCAACUAAAGGAUUAUGUGGACAAUGCUCCCGGAGGCCGGUUCGUCGUUAUCGGUCAGAAGGAAGUGGAACCUCUACAAGCACUCAAAGCACAACAAUGCGGAUAAAACCAGAGAGUUCUUACUGGGAGAGUGUAGCCUGCACCGACAUUGAACAGAAGUUGUGAGGCAGCUCCCGGUUGCAUCGCUUUGCGAUUUUGAGAGCGGUGCUGAGCUUGAGCACCUUGGUGACAUCUCCGGUGAUCUUGGGACAGACGCAGUCGGGCUGGGCGGCCCUCACGAACUUGCAGCACUUGGAAGACGGUUUGGCUCCAAUGAGCACGGCAGUCAUGCAAUUCCCGACGAGACCAUUCACCUGGCUAUCGCAGUCGAGACUCGCGUCGUCGUCGGCAGCAACCUGGAUCAAGAACAGGGAGAAGAAGAGCAGGAAAACUCCCAGGACAAGAGUUGCCCGCGGCUUGAUCGUCUCCAUUGGUGCUGCUCCCGCGACGGAGGACGAAGGAGAGACACUGGGAGCGAUCUAGCGACGAACUCGGGAGAAGAGCAGCAUUUAUUUGUGAGCGGUUUCCUUAAAAAAGGAGUUUUUUUCCGAUGGGUGGUCUGAGCACAAGUCUGGUGCUGCAGCACGCGUACUCCUAGAAAGCAACCUUUACACAUUUUCUUAGACAGCCA